GGGAAUGUAGCUUAGUGGUAGAGUGCUUGCCUGGCAUGCAUGAAGCCCUAUGUUCGAUUCCGCAGUACCA
rnacentral:tRNA from 1 species